GACGAACCGUGCGAACGUUAUUCGGAAUCACUGGGCUUAAAGCGCGUGUAGGCGGGCCGGCACGUCCGACGCUGAAAUCCCCCGGCUCAACCGGGGAAGUGGCACCGAUACGAGCGGCCUCGAGGGGGGUAGGGGGGUCUGGAACUUCCGGUGGAGCGGUGAAAUGCGUUGAGAUCGGAAGGAACGCCCGUGGCGAAAGCGGGUCUCUGGGCCGAUACUGACGCUGAGGAGCGAAAGCAUGGGUAGCGAACAGG
rnacentral:rRNA from 1 species